UGGGGAAUUUUGCACAAUGGGCGCAAGCCUGAUGCAGCGACGCCGCGUGAGGGAUGAAGGCCUUCGGGUUGUAAACCUUUUUCGCUCAUGGUCAAGCCGCAGCUUUGGGUUGUGGUGAGGGUAGUGGGUAAAGAAGCGCCGGCUAACUACGUGCCAGCAGCCGCGGUAAUACGUAGGGCGCGAGCGUUGUCCGGAAUUAUUGGGCGUAAAGCGAGCGCAGGCGGUUAGAAAAGUCUGAAGUGAAAGGCAGUGGCUCAACCAUUGUAGGCUUUGGAAACUGUUUAACUUGAGUGCAGAAGGGGAGAGUGGAAUUCCAUGUGUAGCGGUGAAAUGCGUAGAUAUAUGGAGGAACACCGGUGGCGAAAGCGGCUCUCUGGUCUGUAACUGACGCUGAGGCUCGAAAGCGUGGGGAGCGAACAGG
rnacentral:rRNA from 2 species